rnacentral:lncRNA from 1 species
CAGGACAAGCAUAAAAAUCAACCUAAGCACGUGCAGGAACACAAGCAACACAUUCACAAUUAUUGAUAAUACAAACUAAGAAGCAUAAACACAGAGUCGACCAUAUGCAGCCGAACAUAGCAUGUAAAAAGCUAUGCAUCCGUUAAGAAGCUUUAAAAUACUUUUGUCCAUUCAUCCAGGAAAUUGAACAAUCAUUGAACGUACAUACAUUUUAUGCAUUCUUAUCCAAUGCCCCAGAAGCACUCAUCAGCAAAACCAUUUUUAAAAAUCAGGAAAAGAAUGCAGGAAGGACAAGCUAUAAGUUACUUCUUUUGUAAAUACAAAAGCAACAACAAAUAAUGCUAAAAUGAUAACAAAUUAUUCCAUUUUUUAUAUUCAUGUGUUGGAAAAGAAAUGAGAAUAGUAACAAUAUCUUGUUUAUAGAGCCCAAGUACACCUCCACACAUAAGUUGGAAGUUGUAAGGUUUUACAGGUUCAGGUCUCAAAAAUUAAGAAAUCCUAAAGGAGGGAUUAAUAUGUAGAAAUCCAUACACAUCUUUAUUCUAUUUUAAUCUAAAAUCUCUUGCACCAUUUUAUAUUAUUCAUGUCUAGGCAAUGGAUACUUAUGCCCUUGUGCCCAAAGCAUAUGCAUUUAGAUAAAGUAAAAACACAUUUAGAUGUGUGCCCAACCAGUGUCGCACACGUCAGACACGGUAUGCCACCCUAAAGUAAGAGGCAUGCAGGGGCAAAACUAGCGAUUCUAUUCUCCUAAGACCAUAAUGCUCCUAUUUUCUUCUCCAAGUUACCUAACUUGAUUAUCAAAGGGUCCUUGUCAUUAGAGACUAAGUCCUCUUUUGCUGGCUAUUCGGACUCACCAUGGGCCAUACAAAUUACAAGAUCAAGGCCUCUAAAGUGUAGUCCAGUUAGUCAUAGAAUUUUCCGAUUCAAUGGAACUAGCCUGUGUUCGAGGACAAGAAAUAGAGCUGCCCUAAUGCCCCACGUGAUACUGCACAAAAUAUUAUCGGAAAAGUACAGCACAAGUUCCAAUUUCUUAUAGCUUCGUUUAAAAUGUCAUUUCAAAUGAAGGGAUUUGACACUAAAAAUUAUUUAGUGGCCAUGGCUCAAAUUUAUACUUGAUAAUUUACAUAUGGAUUUUGACAUUAAGUUUGAGAGCUUUUUGUUGAUGGGUCUAAAAUGACUAUUUAUUGGGAGUAAUUUUGAAAUCCUUCAUCCCAACAAGGGUAGCCACACAAACAUCCCAAUAAAACGCAUGUCUUCCACCUCUAAUCAAUCUUCCCCUCUAGUUUCACAAGCUACAUCUUUUAUUUUUUGGUAAAUUUAACAUUAAAUUCAUUCAUUUGAAAUCCACAUCUAUCCAAAUGAACCCUUAUGGAUUGUAAUUAAUUUUCUAUUAUCCUACUCUUGUACAAAGUCGAUCAAAAAAGGCUUUCAGAUUUGAAAAGGUAUCAAAUUCCAUUUUGAUAGAUGAGGAAUUCAAAUGUAAAGAGAACCAAUUGUUUUAUGAGUGUCAGUUGUUCUAUAUUUUUGUUUUCUUAAAAUAGUUCUGUGACAAUAUAACCUAGUUUUAAUUUUCAUAUAUAAAUUUAGUGAUAAAUCUUGCAUUCCGUUUUUUCAUUCUCGAAUUAGAAUAUGAUUGUGUACAACAAUCCCUUCCCGAAACACGUUACAGACUAGCUGUCUCUUGUAGAAAUCAAAGCAUUAUGGUACUAAACUUCUUCUCAUAUCUUGGCCCUUCGGAGAAGAAAUCUUGAUUCCGUCCUUGGAGGCAUAUCCAUGCUUCUUGGCAUACAAACACAAACAUGCAUAUGAUACGCGUAUGCGUGCAUCUAUAGUGUAGAAAAGUUAUCUCACCAGGCUUAAUCGAGCAAGGCAAUAAUGCAUCCAGCUUUUUGCAAAAGUAAUGUAAAUAGAAUAAAAUUACCUCAAAGAUUGAUGAGUUCCGCAAGUUUACGUGCAGUCAUUACGGUACCUAAGUUACCGAUGAUUCUUCAUAUGGACAUUAAUAAAGCUUGCAAAGAAGAGCUGACUCAAAACCUGCAGUGUGAAACCCCAUUCCACAUCGGAUAGAAAGUAGAUUGUCUAUUGCCAUAUAAGUGAAGACCUGGGACCUUCUUGGUACAAGACUUUUUCCCACAAAAACAUGGGAGAAUCACUAAUACCAUAUAGCGGAGUCUUUUAGCCUAUAAAUAAGAGGUUACGAUCAUUAAUAGCUAAUUGUUGAUGAAUUGAGAUUGUAUUUUGAGAGCUAGAGUUCGUGUUCCCAGAUUUGGGAUUUUUUGUCUCCAACAACUAUAUAAAUUUAACAUCUUGUACUGCUGCUCGGACAAACCUCUUCACAAGUACAAAGAAAUAAAAUAAAUACUGACACAUGGCAUUCCUCAUGACUGUUCCCGUGGUUAUAGAAGGGACAACUGAAAAUAAUGUAAAGGUUGGCCAUUCUCUUCCUCGGGGUGGGUUCACGCUUGACUUCCAUUUACUCAUUUUUCAAGUCAAACUCUUUUCCUAAAGUACCACCAACAGCAUAUUAGCACAUCUGUGUCACAGAUUAUGGCAAUGAUGGUAAAUACAAAAAAAAAUCACCAUUUCAUUGGGUUUUCUCCUGAAAAUAAAAUGAGCUAUUAAACAGCAGCAUCUGAAAUACACAGUAAGCAUCUGGAGGAAGACGAUUGAAGGGAAAAUUCAAUGCACUCAAUGGGUCAUGUAUAUACCUAUCACUUCCCAUUUAUUCCAUGACAUCUAACAAUAGCGAUGAACCAAUUAACUCACCAAAUCAAAACCAUUAAGCACAAUAGAAAGGAUAGAAUUGUACCAAUUGUUAACAUCGUUGAAUGCAUGAAUAUCUUCUAUGACUGCAAAAGGAAAGAAAAAUAAGUUUUUUCUAUCCAAGAGCCGUCACAUAAAUUAUCAUUGAUAAAAUAUGAAUUAAAUCAAACAAUUUUGAUCAGUAUAAGUAUUAAAAAAGAAAUUAGGGUCUAAAAAAAUUCCAUUAAAGACGCAGUUGCAGAAAAUUUAGUGUAAGCCAAGCCUUUCCACCACUAUAGCAACAAAAGAAUACAACAUCAACAUGCAAGAGAACAAAACAAAGGAUUUUAAGGUCAAAAGAGGAGCAACUAUCCAAUGAAAAAGGAAAAAAAUAAUAUUGAAGAACGAAAAUAGAACAAAUAUACAAGUCCCAAAAUAAAGUUAAGAAAUAAAUAAGCUAAAAGAAAGAAGGGGCAAACCAUUCUUAUCUCAGCAGAACCAAUUAGUCUCUAAACCUAAAUAAAAACCAUGGGGCAAUCCUAGAAUAGCGGAUGAAAAAAAGGAAUCUGAGCUUUAGUUGAAAAUAGGAACCAAAAAGAUAUAAAUAAAUGUCAUGUACUUACUAGUAUUAAAGUUUUCAAAAUCAGAAAUGCCAAGGGCCACAACCAAAGAUUUCAAAUUAUUGAUCUUACAAAUUGAAAUACUAAUUUUCUUGACUAACCUGUAUGGCACAAAAUGAUGCAACUUUAGAGGGUCACAUUGGCGCAUUAAACUUCUUGGUGUCAUUCACAGGAACAAAAAGACCACAAGUUAUAACCAUAGAAGUGAAAGCAAUAAUACAAACAAUCUUAUCUUACCGGUCAAACAACAAGGAAUAUAUUGCCUUAGCUAAACCAUAUGCUAUAGUUGCCUUUCUCCAUGCUUGAGUAUAGCAUCUUCUCACAAACGAAGAUAACACCUGAUAUAAGGAAUAAUAAAUUAUACAAGUACUGGGAGGUCAUGUAACAUAACUCAUAUCCAUGAUAGACAUCAACUCUCUCUAUAUUUCUUAUAUAGACAGCUGUUUUCCGAAGUAUCAACUUGAAAGAGUAAGCCUCGAGUCAUUUACAUUAUUCCUGCCAGCACAAACUCACUGGCCAUUUAAACAUUAACAAGCAUAGAACAAGAGUUAUAACAUCCAUCUUACUUCCAGAAGUUACUGCCUGAUAAGACCGUCCUUCAGUGCCUUUAUGACCACCCCAAUAGACAAAGGCAGUGUUUGAGUUUUUUAGUUGUUUUUCUCUUACUAGCCCCGCCUGACCAGAACUGAGUUGCCUUGGACAUCCUUGAGCAUCGCCCUGACUCAUUUCAAGCAACUUAGUUAACUAUAUGUAUCCUUAGAAAGAACGUUACAGAAGACAAACAAAAUACAAGGUUACCUUAAGCAACAUCUGCAAUAGCAAAAACACGAGUACUCAAUUCUCCAAAUGUUGCUUUCUUGUAUUACUCCGUCAUAUGACAAUCAUAUAGCUGAGGCAGACUUUCAAUCGAUUAAUGGCUAUAAUAGUACCAUAAUGUCAGAGUAGGAUUUAAUAUUAUGGCAGAUCCACCCAUAGCUGCAUUAAAUCAUUGCUUUCUCACAACGGGAUGAACGCUCGAUAACUAAUGACAAAACUAAAGGUGAAGGAAGUCUUACGUUAGAUUCCAUUAGUCUGAUAUCUAGUCGAAAAAUUCUGCAAAACUCCUGGCCCAUGCAAAUUUCUUAGCAAAGUCAUAUCACCAACUCCAUGCAGCCGCUUCCAUGUCCUUCGGAUUAAUGUUUGAUAAACUAGCGACAACCUGUCCAUAGGAAGCAGCAGAAGUUUCAGGUAGAUGAAUGAGGCCAGAUAACAAUAAACAAAGACAUAAAAUUCAGUUUACAAAAAUGGAACCAAUCAAAACAUUUUUGUUUCAUUGAUUUUUUUCUGUCAAAUGAAUUCACGGCUUUAAUAAAGAAAGAAGGUCUUCGGUAAAUAAUAAGUAACCAGGCCCUAUGUGUUUUUUUGAUGAAAUCCAUCUUGAAAUAGUUAAACAUCAGUGAGGAAAGUACAUUUACUUGUCAAAAGAAGCAAAAUUUACAUGUACAAGUCAUUUGAUGAAAAAUCCAUCUUGAAAAAAUAAAAAAUAUAUUGGACAAAGAAUAGGGCGAGAUUCACUUUACCUCCAUGUGUACUUUACUUCGCCGUGGUGAAAAUAUGCAAAGAAUGCUCGCGUGGUUUGUUACUGUUACAUUUUCCAUU